GAGUAUAGUGGACAGUGAAAAGCUGAGAAAGCACUUGGCAGUGUCCUGCCUGGAAGCCUGCUAGCUGGGGAACUUACCUGCAACAUAAAGGUGCAAUCAACCUACAGCAGUGAAGCUGACUAACCCCACACAGAGGCAAGCCCCACCCUCGCCGGAUGUGCAGGAAGUGGAAAAUGCCACCACAUCAGGAGGUGUUCGAGCUGUUGGGGGCGGAUUGGACACCUACAGUGCCCAGGUCUUAAUUGGGGAGAUAUUGUCCUGUAGGGCAGAAAUAGAGGACAUAAACCUCACCUUAGAGAAGCUUAAAAAGGAAAACCAAAAGGUGGACCAAAAACUAAAGAAUCUGAUUGAUGUGCUGGGGAGGGUUUUAAAAAAUCAAAAUAGAUGUAGGCAAGUAUUUCAAAGCAAAAAUA